ensembl:lncRNA
AUCCAGCUUCUACUCAGAGGAAAGCGCGGACUUUGACAUGGCCUUUCCCAGAGCAAACACUCAUUUCUGUACCUGUUGCACAAACAUUUUCCUUGGAUGGAGUUUGGUGGUUCACUGUUAAGGCACAGACAAACAAAUUUUAGUCUCCUGCAGUUUGGCACCCAAAGUAAUUUAGGUGUCUAGCUCCCACUGAGAGUAAUUCAAAGUGCAGCUGUUGUGUUGUGUUGUUCAAGAAAUCUAAGGAUCUGACUAAGUUUUCCCCUGCUGCACCGGGCUUUUUGUGGCAAAAUGUGGCUGCCCAUCACAAUUGAAAAGUACUUAUGCAACCUGACUUCCUGUAGAUGCUCUCAAAGCUCUGGUAAAUUAAGCUACGUUAAAUUAAUUUAGUGUAAUUUAAUUGAUUGUCACUGCCUGGAAAGCCUGACCAUUGCUUCUAUCAAGACAUCACAACCAUCUUGAAGCAAAAGCUGUUAUCAAAAGAUACUGAUUACAGACUGUGCAGGCAACAGACACAGGAAAAAAAAAAACAAACAAUAUACAACAAGAUGAUCUCUGAGAGUUUUACCAUUAUAUGCAGAAAGUGGAAUAAUGAUUUCUAUGACUCACACUACAGAAAAUGAGCUGUGUGAUUUGCACUUCUGGUUUGCCAGCUGGGACCCAGCCCAGAUCAUUUGUCUGCAUCAGGUGCUAUCAGCAGGUGUGUGCAGAAGCAGAGCGAGUACGUACAUUUGUAAAUAACUCUUCUCAUGGGUGAAGUACAGGAAGAGUAAAAUUUCCUGAAAAAUCUGAUGAACACCUGGAGGACUCACUAAGAAUUGCAGCCAAUUCCAUUGAACCAGACCAACGCAUUAGUUUCACAAAAACAAGCCCAGGACAAUUCCUCUUCACUCAAAGCAGCCCAGACAAGCCUAAGAGUUGGACACACGUGUUAUUGAAUUUCUGCUUGCUUCUAUUGCAACUGGCAAGAGUAUCUCCUAUUCAAAUCCAGAUGGUGCUUGGAGAAUUUUCUGCUACUGAAAACAGACUUCUCUUCCUCUUGGCUGCCGUACAUCCUUGCACCACACCUGGGAGUGACGUUGAUCACAUUCCCGUCUCCUGGCUGUGGAUCUGAAUGUUCCACCGUGUUAUCAUAAUGUGGACACUCAACUCAAGUCCCUGAGGUGAUAUUCUCCCCUUUCUCUUGGACAUAAGCAACAUGCCGUCAUUGAACUCUAGCAUCCUUUCUGUGUUUCACCCUUUCCCAAUCUGUCAAAAGUGGUCUCUGCGGUCUUAUGGAGAAAAGAGGAAGAAAAAAAUGGAAACUGCUCGGGAAAGUAGUGAGUAAUUUCCUGAUUUAAUAAAUAAAACUUGCGAAUCCUGCUG